AAGAGAAAGAAAAUUAUUACUCGCUUGUUUUCCGAUGGAACAAUGACGUUUCAUGAUGAUGAUGACGAUUCAAUGAUUGAUUGAUUCUACAGUUUUUCAUCUCGCUACUAACGCGAAUGAUCUGAAACGUUGUUGUGUCGUUCGAAACGUCAUCGUUACAGGACAGAUUUGUGUUUACGUUCAAUAGGAAAACGUUAAACGGUCCAGUAUUUAUCAAUGUUGAGAUGCCCCGUAUGCGCUCAUGAAUUAUUGAUGUAACAAACGCACAUAAUCUAUGUCCAAAUAUGGCGACUCGUGAUUACAGGCGGACCACCGCUUUUAAUCAUUACACAUAUAUGAAUUUAAUUGAUGACGAACAAGCUGCGUACAAUUAACUUUAACAUCGUGUUG